rnacentral:rRNA from 1 species
GAUGAACGCUGGCGGCGUGCCUAAUACAUGCAAGUAGAACGCUGAAGGAGGAGCUUGCUCUUUCCGGAUGAGUUGCGAACGGGUGAGUAACGCGUAGGUAACCUGCCUGGUAGCGGGGGAUAACUAUUGGAAACGAUAGCUAAUACCGCAUAACAGUAUAUAUUGCAUGAUAUUUGCUUUAAAGGGGCAAUUGCUCCACUACCAGAUGGACCUGCGUUGUAUUAGCUAGUUGGUGAGGUAACGGCUCACCAAGGCGACGAUACAUAGCCGACCUGAGAGGGUGAGCGGCCACACUGGGACUGAGACACGGCCCAGACUCCUACGGGAGGCAGCAGUAGGGAAUCUUCGGCAAUGGACGGAAGUCUGACCGAGCAACGCCGCGUGAGUGAAGAAGGGUUUCGGAUCGUAAAGCUCUGUUGUAAGAGAAGAACGAGUGUGAGAGUGGAAAGUUCACACUGUGACGGUAUCUUACCAGAAAGGGACGGCUAACUACGUG